UACAGAGGUGGCAAGCGUUGUUCGGAAUUACUGGGCGUAAAGGGCGCGUAGGCGGCCUUCUAAGUCGAACGUGAAAUCCCCGGGCUCAACCCGGGAACUGCGUCCGAUACUGGAAGGCUUGAAUCCGGGAGAGGGAUGCGGAAUUCCAGGUGUAGCGGUGAAAUGCGUAGAUAUCUGGAGGAACACCGGUGGCGAAGGCGGCAUCCUGGACCGACAUUGACGCUGAGGCGCGAAAGCCAGGGGAGCAAACGGG
rnacentral:rRNA from 1 species